rnacentral:rRNA from 1 species
UACGUAGGGUGCAAGCGUUGUCCGGAAUUAUUGGGCGUAAAGAGCUCGUAGGCGGUCUGUCGCGUCUGCUGUGAAAACUCAGGGCUUAACCCUGAGCUUGCAGUGGGUACGGGCAGACUAGAGUGCGGUAGGGGAGACUGGAAUUCCUGGUGUAGCGGUGAAAUGCGCAGAUAUCAGGAGGAACACCGGUGGCGAAGGCGGUUCUCUGGGACGGUACUGACGCUGGAGACGCGAAAGCGUGGGGAGCGAACAGG